rnacentral:rRNA from 1 species
UAAGGAAUAUUGGUCAAUGGACGCAAGUCUGAACCAGCCAUGCCGCGUGGAGGAUGAAGGUCCUCUGGAUUGUAAACUUCUUUUAUCUGGGACGAAACACUCCUUUUCUAAGGGGCUUGACGGUACCAGAUGAAUAAGCACCGGCUAACUCCGUGCCAGCAGCCGCGGUAAUACGGAGGGUGCAAGCGUUAUCCGGAUUCACUGGGUUUAAAGGGUGCGUAGGUGGGUAUGUAAGUCAGAGGUGAAAUCCCCGAGCUUAACUUGGGAACUGCCUUUGAUACUAUGUAUCUUGAAUAUCGUAGAGGUUAGCGGAAUAUGUUAUGUAGCGGUGAAAUGCUUAGAUAUGACAUAGAACACCAAUUGCGAAGGCAGCUAGCUAUGCGAUUAUUGACACUGAGGCACGAAAGCGUGGGUAGCAAACA